rnacentral:misc_RNA from 1 species
AACAUCGCGCACCUGCGGGAACCUGCGGAGGGAUCAUUACAGAGUUGCAAAACUCCCUAAACCAUUGUGAACGUUACCUAAACCGUUGCUUCGGCGGGCGGCCCGGGUCCUUCCCGGCACCCAUCGGCCCUCGCGGGCGCCCGCCGGAGGUAAACCAAACUAUUGCAUUGUAUGGCCUCUCUGAGUCUUCUGUACUGAAUAAGUCAAAACUUUCAACAACGGAUCUCAGAUCGGAAGAGC